GGCAGUGUAGUAUAAUCGCUAAGAUAUUGGUCUUGUAACCUAAAGGUUGCAGGUUCGAUUCCCUGGUAGGACACUGCCG
rnacentral:tRNA from 1 species